UACGGAGGGUGCGAGCGUUGUCCGGAAUCACUGGGCGUAAAGAGCGCGUAGGCGGCAUGCCAAGCGUGUGGUGAAAGCCCGGGGCUCAACCCCGGGUCGGCCGUGCGGACUGGCGUGCUCGAGCACUGUAGGGGCGGGUGGAAUUCCGGGUGUAGCGGUGGAAUGCGUAGAGAUCCGGAAGAACACCGGUGGCGAAGGCGGCCCGCUGGGCAGGAAGGCUCGCAAGAGCCGGCUGACGCUGAGGCGCGACAGCGUGGGGAGCAAACAGG
rnacentral:rRNA from 1 species